UACGAAGGGGGCGAGCGUUGUUCGGAAUUACUGGGCGUAAAGGGCGCGCAGGCGGCCCUUGAAGUCAGGCGUGAAAGCCCCGGGCUCAACCUGGGAGGUGCGCUUGAUACUCGAGGGCUUGAGUGCGGAAGAGGAGAGUGGAAUUCCCAGUGUAGAGGUGAAAUUCGUAGAUAUUGGGAAGAACCCCGGUGGCGAAGGCGGCUCUCUGGACCGUAACUGACGCUGAGGCGCGAAAGCGUGGGAGCAAACAGG
rnacentral:rRNA from 1 species